GCAGCACCCCUCCAUGACCUGCAUCAGCUCCUAACGCCUGGUCCCUGCCCUUUUUGAGUUCCUGUCCUGACUUCCUUCGUUGAUGGACUAUGAUGUGGAAGUGUGUAAGUCAGAUAAACCUUUUCCUCCCCAGAUUGUUUCUGGUCAUGGUGUUUUCAGCACAGCAAUAGAAACCCUAACUAGGCCAGAAAUUGGUACCAAGAUAAUGGGGUAUUGCUGCAGCAGAGCUGACUGUGUGUUUUGGGGGAGGAUUGUAGAGUGCCUACCAAGUGUUCAAAGCUUUGAUGAGCUGUUCUGUAGAAGCCUGGAAGAAACGAGCACUGAGAGAAAUACAGACAAUGAAGGCCUGGCUUAUGAUGUUCCAGGGGAAAUUUGAGAACUACUUAAGACUUUCGGGACACUUGCAUAUUUAGCAUUUUAUUAAAAAUUCCGUGGUUCUGGUCAUCCAAGGCUGAAGAGUUAGUUAGCUGUGGUUAACAAGAAACCAGUGCCACUAAUGUGAAACCUUUGCGUUACUGGGUUAAUUGAUGCCGGCUAGCUGGAGCUGAGAAAACAGGCGAUUAAGAAGAGGUGAAAACUUCUGGAGUUAUUUCCUGAGAGUCAGCACACAGAAGCUGUGUUCCAGAGGCAGCCAAGGCUGUACCUCACUCCGGCAGCUGAACUUGGUAGUGUAAGAGUCACCACGUGGUGCUGAUUUUGAAGGCACCGAGGGUCAUGGAGAGCAGCUGGGGAUUGACACCGUGAGAGGCCAGGAGAGGCCGUCGGUGAAGGUGCAGCCUAAGUAGCAGUUGAAGGCCCAGGAUUGAAGGCCGCACGUAGAGAAGAUGAGGCUUGGAGCCAUGGAGAGAGCGCAGGAGAGUCUAAUGGUCAAAAUGCAGCCCAGUUUCAGCAGAAGACCCCAACAUUUUAGAGACACCAGUGCCAUGGGACAAUGGGCCUGGAAGUGACAGCAGUGGAGUUUAGAAGACAACGCUGUGUGCCGCAGAGGGCUGAGCCAGAGAAGACACACUGUGUGCCACAGGCAGAGGGUUCAGCAAGAGAAGAGACCCACGCCCCUUGGGAGGAGCCCAGAAGAUAAAGAAGUUACUUUUGCUUUUAGCAAGUAGAGUGGACCCACUGAAGACUGUUUACUGUAAAUCCAAGGUCACCUUAAUUCUGUUAGAAAUGAAGAUGGAAGACAUUCAGGACUGACCAAUACCAGAGUAUACUUCUGUGCUCCAGAUGAAAUCCAGGAUUUCCAGGCUGCCUUUCCUAGUCAAGCCUGGACUUAUAUACUUUCUGUUUCUCUGGCUCUGUGUCAUUGUGCUGACUAUCUCAACCUCACUGCACCUCUAGUAAAGUGUGGUCUUCUCAUGAUCUAAUGAGAACAUCAAAAAUAGGAGCAUAAAAGGAUCCACUUCUAUUCCCUGGUGUUCCCUCUGUCGAUUAGGUAUCUGUGUUAAUGUCCUGUUAUAUAUUAAGUGAUAAACCUUGAAUCAGAUGUUACUAUGUCAGAGAGAAAAACGAGCUCAAUCGAAAAAUACCUAUGUGCUAAUUACUUUAACCUAGAGCUAUUAGCCCAAUAUUAAACACAGAUAGACUAAUGAAGACUUU